GGGUUGUGAGGUUAAGCGACUAAGCGUACACGGUGGAUGCCCUGGCAGUCAGAGGCGAUGAAGGACGUGCUAAUCUGCGAAAAGCGUCGGUAAGGUGAUAUGAACCGUUAAGCCGGCGAUGUCCGAAUGGGGAAACCCAGUGCAAUUCGUUGCACUAUCGUUAACUGAAUACAUAGGUUAACGAGGCGAACCGGGGGAACUGAAACAUCUAAGUACCCCGAGGAAAAGAAAUCAACCGAGAUUCCCCCAGUAGCGGCGAGCGAACGGGGAGCAGCCCAGAGUCUGAAUCAGCUUGUGUGUUAGUGGAACGGUCUGGAAAGUCCGACGGUACAGGGUGAUAGUCCCGUACACCAAAAUGCACAGGUUGUGAACUCGAAGAGUAGGGCGGGACACGUGGUAUCCUGUCUGAAUAUGGGGGGACCAUCCUCCAAGGCUAAAUACUCCUGACUGACCGAUAGUGAACCAGUACCGUGAGGGAAAGGCGAAAAGAACCCCGGCGAGGGGAGUGAAAAAGAACCUGAAACCGUGUACGUACAAGCAGUGGGAGCACCUUCGGGUGUGACUGCGUACCUUUUGUAUAAUGGGUCAGCGACUUAUAUUCUGUAGCAAGGUUAACCGUAUAGGGGAGCCGCAGGGAAACCGAGUCUUAACUGGGCGUUAAGUUGCAGGGUAUAGACCCGAAACCCGGUGAUCUAGCCAUGGGCAGGUUGAAGGUUGGGUAACACUAACUGGAGGACCGAACCGACUAAUGUUGAAAAAUUAGCGGAUGACUUGUGGCUGGGGGUGAAAGGCCAAUCAAACCGGGAGAUAGCUGGUUCUCCCCGAAAGCUAUUUAGGUAGCGCCUCGUGAACUCAUCUUCGGGGGUAGAGCACUGUUUCGGCUAGGGGGUCAUCCCGACUUACCAACCCGAUGCAAACUACGAAUACCGAAGAAUGUUAUCACGGGAGACACACGGCGGGUGCUAACGUCCGUCGUGAAGAGGGAAACAACCCAGACCGCCAGCUAAGGUCCCAAAGUCAUGGUUAAGUGGGAAACGAUGUGGGAAGGCACAGACAGCCAGGAUGUUGGCUUAGAAGCAGCCAUCAUUUAAAGAAAGCGUAAUAGCUCACUGGUCGAGUCGGCCUGCGCGGAAGAUGUAACGGGGCUAAACCAUGCACCGAAGCUGCGGCAGCGACACUAUGUGUUGUUGGGUAGGGGAGCGUUCUGUAAGCCUGCGAAGGUGUGCUGUGAGGCAUGCUGGAGGUAUCAGAAGUGCGAAUGCUGACAUAAGUAACGAUAAAGCGGGUGAAAAGCCCGCUCGCCGGAAGACCAAGGGUUCCUGUCCAACGUUAAUCGGGGCAGGGUGAGUCGACCCCUAAGGCGAGGCCGAAAGGCGUAGUCGAUGGGAAACAGGUUAAUAUUCCUGUACUUGGUGUUACUGCGAAGGGGGGACGGAGAAGGCUAUGUUAGCCGGGCGACGGUUGUCCCGGUUUAAGCAUGUAGGCUGGUUGUCCAGGCAAAUCCGGAUAAUCAAGGCUGAGGUGUGAUGACGAGGCACUACGGUGCUGAAGUAACAAAUGCCCUGCUUCCAGGAAAAGCCUCUAAGCAUCAGGUAACAUCAAAUCGUACCCCAAACCGACACAGGUGGUCAGGUAGAGAAUACCAAGGCGCUUGAGAGAACUCGGGUGAAGGAACUAGGCAAAAUGGUGCCGUAACUUCGGGAGAAGGCACGCUGGUGUGUAGGUGAAGUCCCUGCGGAUGGAGCUGAGACCAGUCGAAGAUACCAGCUGGCUGCAACUGUUUAUUAAAAACACAGCACUGUGCAAACACGAAAGUGGACGUAUACGGUGUGACGCCUGCCCGGUGCCGGAAGGUUAAUUGAUGGGGUUAUCCGUAAGGAGAAGCUCUUGAUCGAAGCCCCGGUAAACGGCGGCCGUAACUAUAACGGUCCUAAGGUAGCGAAAUUCCUUGUCGGGUAAGUUCCGACCUGCACGAAUGGCGUAAUGAUGGCCAGGCUGUCUCCACCCGAGACUCAGUGAAAUUGAACUCGCUGUGAAGAUGCAGUGUACCCGCGGCAAGACGGAAAGACCCCGUGAACCUUUACUAUAGCUUGACACUGAACAUUGAGCCUUGAUGUGUAGGAUAGGUGGGAGGCUUUGAAGCGUGGACGCCAGUCUGCGUGGAGCCAACCUUGAAAUACCACCCUUUAAUGUUUGAUGUUCUAACGUUGGCCCCUGACCGGGGUUGCGGACAGUGUCUGGUGGGUAGUUUGACUGGGGCGGUCUCCUCCCAAAGCGUAACGGAGGAGCACGAAGGUUAGCUAAUCCUGGUCGGACAUCAGGAGGUUAGUGCAAUGGCAUAAGCUAGCUUGACUGCGAGCGUGACGGCGCGAGCAGGUGCGAAAGCAGGUCAUAGUGAUCCGGUGGUUCUGAAUGGAAGGGCCAUCGCUCAACGGAUAAAAGGUACUCCGGGGAUAACAGGCUGAUACCGCCCAAGAGUUCAUAUCGACGGCGGUGUUUGGCACCUCGAUGUCGGCUCAUCACAUCCUGGGGCUGAAGUAGGUCCCAAGGGUAUGGCUGUUCGCCAUUUAAAGUGGUACGCGAGCUGGGUUUAGAACGUCGUGAGACAGUUCGGUCCCUAUCUGCCGUGGGCGCUGGAGAAUUGAGGGGGGCUGCUCCUAGUACGAGAGGACCGGAGUGGACGCAUCACUGGUGUUCGGGUUGUCAUGCCAAUGGCACUGCCCGGUAGCUAAAUGCGGAAGAGAUAAGUGCUGAAAGCAUCUAAGCACGAAACUUGCCCCGAGAUGAGUUCUCCCUGAGACUUUAAGUCUCCUGAAGGAACGUUGAAGACGACGACGUUGAUAGGCCGGGUGUGUAAGCGCAGCGAUGCGUUGAGCUAACCGGUACUAAUGAACCGUGAGGCUUAACCUUACAACGCCGAAG
rnacentral:rRNA from 1 species